GACGAACGCUGGCGGCGUGCUUAACACAUGCAAGUCGAACGGUAAGGCCCUUCGGGGUACACGAGUGGCGAACGGGUGAGUAACACGUGGGUGAUCUGCCCUGCACUUCGGGAUAAGCCUGGGAAACUGGGUCUAAUACCGGAUAGGACCACUGCCUGCAUGGGUGGUGGUGGAAAGCUUUUGCGGUGUGGGAUGGGCCCGCGGCCUAUCAGCUUGUGGGUGGGGUGAUGGCCUACAAAGGCGACGACGGGUAGCCGGCCUGAGAGGGUGACCGGCCACACUGGGACUGAGAUACUGCCCAGACUCCUACGGGAGGCAGCAGUGGGGAAUAUUGCACAAUGGGCGCAAGCCUGAUGCAGCGACGCCGCGUGAGGGAUGACGGCCUUCUGGUUGUAAACCUCUUUCAGCACCGACGAAGCGCAAGUGACGGUAGGUGCAGAAGAAGGACCGGCCAACUACGUGCCAGCCGCCGCCGUAA
rnacentral:rRNA from 1 species